UGAUAUGACAUCGGGUUUAUCGUUCUACCAUAGAAAUAUAUACUGACGGGAAUGUCCACCGUAUGACGUCAUCGCGUUAUGUUAUGGGACGUCUGCAAAAUAUUGGUUCAUGCAUUCGCCACUUCCGGUUGCUGUCUAAAUGCCGGGAAACAACUGUGUUUUCGUCGGAUGCUCCGCCUGUCAAACGAGAAACCGUGGCCUCUCCUUCCAUAGACUUCCAAGAAACAACCCUGAGAGGAAAUUAAACUAUUACGCAUCAUAAAAUCAACUAGGGAGGAUCGAGUGAACAUCGACAGACUAACUAUUUGCUCAAGACAUUUUGAAGAUGAGUGCUUUUUUACCGCUACUACCAGUACUGGAAAAAUAAGAAGACAGUUAAAACCUGGAAGUUUACCCACUCUUCAUCUGCCUCAAAAGACUAUAAUGACACCCAAAUUACCUGCCAGGAAACCACCGAAAUCAAGAAUUUCAUCUUCUGUUCUGCCUUGUGGUAGUUCUACUGGUCCAUCUGUCACAUUUGAUGCAUUGAAAGAAUCUACUAAAUUAAAAAUUCCAAAUGGAUGGUGUUGUGAUUCAUCUGAUCCUGAUAAGAUUAUCCUUGUUAGAUUAGGAGGCUGUCAAAUUGUUGCCAGUGUAUAUAAAUCCAUGAGUUUUACAGUGCAUCUUAAUGA